rnacentral:rRNA from 1 species
AUGAGGUGGAAGACUUGGCUUGAGGCGCCGAUGAAGGACGCGGCUAACGGCGAAAUGUUCCGGCGAUGCGUAUGCAGCACGUGAACCGGAAAUCUCCGAAUCGGACUUCCGCUUGAAACCGAAAGGUUAGGGAACCCAGGGAAUUGAAACGUCUUAGUACCUGGAGGAAAAGAAAUCAAUCGAGAUGCGGUUAGUAAGAGCGACUGAACACCGCGGACGGCAAACCGAAUCUUGCGUCGAAAGAUGCAAGAGAUGUGGGGUUAUGGACCUUCUUUUAGGCCUCGCCGGAGAACGCAAAGUGCACUGGAACGUGCCACGAAACAGGGUGAUAGUCCCGUAGCGAGAAUCUGGCAAGCCGUGAAGGUAUCCAGAGUACUGCUCCCCGGAAACGGAGCAGGAAGUCGGGAGGCACUAACUUCCAACCGUACAUACGUCUCAAGACCGAUAGCGUACAAGUACCGUGAGGGAACGUUGAAAAGAACCCAUGACAGGGAGUCAAAAGAGCCUGAAACCUCAUAGACAUCGAACGGCACGGACAUUCGUGUUUGUGUCGUACGUUUGGAAUAACGUGCCAGGGAGUGCAUUUUUGUGGCAAGGCUAACUGACCAUCGUCAGGAAGCCGCAGCGAAAGCAACAAGCCCGCAAGCAAUGAGGGGCGCGGUGUGAAAGCGCCGGAAGUCACAAGGAUGCGACCCGAAACCAGUCGAUCUAAUCCUGAGCAUGGUGAAGUGGGGGUAAAACCCCGUGGAAGCCAGAAGAGGUGCUGUGUGCAAGCGUUCUUCUGACUUGGGAUUAGGGGUGAAAAGCCAAUCGAGACUGGUGAUAGCUGGUUCCUAUCAAAGUAGGCGUCAGUCUAGCCUGCGGUGAGACAGAUAAGCUCGUAGAGCGACGGAUUGGAGAUUUAGGCAUCGAAAGGUGUCGGUUUCCUGUCCAACUCCGAAGAACUUAUCGUCGUAGACCCGCGGAGACGGGGUGUAUGCGUAAGGUGUACAUCCGAGAGGGGAACAACCCUGACUACAGUUAAGGUCCCAAAGUAAUGGUUCAGUGUGAACGGGCAAAGGGAAUUUGCCCUCAGAGACAGCGGGGAGGUAGGCUUAGAAGCAGCCACCCUUUAAAAAGUGCGUAACAGCUUACCCGUCAAGAGCGCGAGUCCCUAAAAUGGACGGGGCUAAACCAUUCACCGAUACUGUAGACGACCCAUAAGGUCGUGGUAGAUAGGCGUCCGGCUUGGACAGAACGCGGUUCGUAAGAAGCGCGGGACCGAGCUGGAAUGAAAAUCCUGGCGGUAGUAGGAUCAUAGACAUGUGAGAAUCAUGUCCACUGAAAGGGCAAGGGUUCCUUGGCAAUGUCGAUCAGCCAAGGGUCAGUCAGUCCUAACUGAGCACCCAAAUGGUGCUUGUGAGGAAAGGGCAUCCGGUUAAUAUUCCGGAACUGUCCAAGUAUACGCGGCAACGCAAGUCGCGUUUCAGACACUUUCGGCUAGGCGGGCGCAAACUGUCGUUUGCGCCAACAAAAAUACUUCCGGGGAGUAUCGUCAUGAUGAGAACCGGACGAAAUUUUGGAACGGUCUUCCUUUGGAGGAUCCCGCUGAUGCCAAGAGUCCAUGAAAACGGAACGCGAAAAGAUCUUGGACAUCUGUACCCAGAACCAGCACUGGUGCCCCUAGGUGAGAAGCCUAAAGUGUGAAGGACUAAUGUAGUUGAGGGAACUCGGCAUAUUGGCUCCGUGACUUCGGUCUAAGGAGUCCCUGCGUCCGUUCGCGUAUGCGUGCGAUCGCAGGGGUCACUAACUCGGGGGACCCGACUGUUUACCAAAAACACAACUGGCUGCGAAGCUGCAAAGCUGUGUAUAGCCGGUGACGUCUGCCCAGUGACGGUAUCCGAAUACUCGGUUCAACGGGUCUAAGGGCCGUUAAACGGCGGGAGUAACUAUAACUCUCUUAAGGUAGCGUAAUGCCUUGUCAUUUGAUUGGUGACGUGCAUGAAGGGCGCAACGAGGUCUCCACUGUCCCCAACUGCAAGCCUCCGAAUACUUCCUUCUGGUGGGAAGACCAGAGAUUUCCAGUGGGAAGCGAAGACCCCGUGAAACUUUACUGUAGCUUGUAGCUGUGACGCGAGUUGUAUUGUAUAGCGUAUGUGGGAGCUGUUUGAGUCAGGUGUCGUCAGGCAUCUGAUGAGGCGACAAUGUAACACCACACCCUAUGGCUUGCGUCACUCACUUCGAAAGAAGAACACCUACUGGCGGACAGUUCGGCUGGGGUGGCACGCUGAUGAAAAAAUAUCAUUAGCGCCCUAAGGUCGGCUCAGUCCGGUCAGAAAUCGGACGUAGCGUGCAAGGGCAUAAGCCGGCCUGACUGGAUCCCUGUCAAGACCGGAUCCAGAGGCGAAAGCCAGGCCUAGCGAACCCCCGUGUCCUCCUUAGUGGGGGCCGGGUAUGACCGAAAAGUUACUCCGGGGGUAACAGAGUCGUCGCGCCCGAGAGUUCGCAUCGACGGCGCGGUUUGCUACAUCGACGUCGGCUCUUCCUAUCCUGGCCGUGCAGAAGCGGCCAAGGGUGAAGGGGUUCACUUGUUAAAAGGGAUCGUUAGCUGGGUUCACAACGCUGUGAGGCAGUUGGUUUGAUAUCUACUGGAAAUGCGAGAAGGCUGAGAGGAAGGACGCCAUAGUACGAGAGGAACUGGCGUUCGUCGCCACUGGUUUACCGGUUAUCCGAUAGGGUAUUACGCCGGGCAGCUACGCGAUUUGGGAUAAGUUCUGAAAGCAUCUAAGAAUGAAACCCUCCUCGAAAAGAGCCUUCGUAGGACACGGUUAAAAGAACCGUU